rnacentral:rRNA from 1 species
UACCCGCAGCACAAGUGGUGUCCACGAUUAUUGGGCUUAAAGCGCUCGUAGCUGGCUGAUGCCGUCCCAUGUGAAAUAUUGGCGCUCAACGUCAAUGCGGGCAUGGGAUACCCAUCAGCUUGGGAGCGGGUGAGGUCAGGGGUACUUAUGGGGGAGGGGUAAAAUCCUGUAAUCCUAUAAGGACCAACGGUGGCGAAGGCGCCUGACCAGAACGCAUCCGACAGUGAGGAGCGAAGGCUAGGAGAACGAAUCGGAUCAGAUACCCGAGUAGCCCUAGCAGUAAAUUAUGCAGACUCUGGUGUUGCCGAUGUCUUGAAUAUCGGCAGUACCGUAGCGAAAGUGUUAAGUCUGCCGCCUGGGGAGUACGGCCGCAAGGUUGAAACUUAAAGCAAUUGGCGGGGGAGCACACAAGGGGUGGAUGCUGCGGUUUAAUUGAACCCAACGUCGGAAAUCUUACCGGGAGCGACGGCAGUGUGAAGGCCAGACUGAAGAUCUUGCCUGACGAGCCGAGAGGUAGUGCAUGGCGACCGUCAGCUCGUGGUGUGAACUGUCCGGUUAAGUCCGGGAACGGGCGAGACCCUCAUUGACAGUUGCCACUGUUUCAGUGAUGAAGCAAGCACUCUGUCGAGACCGCCUCUGUUUAAAGAGGAGGAAGGAGAGGGCGACGAUACGUCAGUAUGCUCUGAAUCUUCCGGGCUACACGCGGCAUACAAAGGUUGGCACAAUGGGAUGCAACUCCGAAAGGAGGAGCCAAUCCCCUAAAACCAUCCUUAGUUUGGAUUGAGGGCUGAAACUCGCCCUCAUGAAAAUGGAAUCCCUAGUAAUCGCAUGUCACUAUCGUGCGGUGAAUCUGUCCCAGCUCCU